rnacentral:rRNA from 1 species
AAUUCGAUUGAGUUUGAUCCUGGCUCAGGACGAACGCUGGCGGCGUGCAUAACACAUGCAAGUCAAGGGGGUCAGUAGCAAUACUGGCAACCAGCGAACGGGUGCGUAACACGUAAGCGACCUACCUCGGUGUGGGGCAUAGCCGGUCUAACGACCGGGUAAUUCCGCAUACGCUCUCGAGAGUGCAUACUCUUGAGAUGAAACCAGUAAUGGGCACUGAGAGGGGCUUGCGGCCUAUCAGCUAGUUGGUGAGGUAACGGCUCACCAAGGCUACGACGGGUAGCUGGUCUGAGAGGAUGGCCAGCCACAUUGGGACUGAGAUACGGCCCAGACUCCUACGGGAGGCAGCAGUGGGGAAUCUUGCGCAAUGGCCUAACGGCUGACGCAGCGACGCCGCGUGAGGGAUGAAGCUCCUCGGAGUGUAAACCUCUGUUGCCCGGGACGAAUAGCGGAUUAUUCCGACUUGACGGUACCGGGUGAGGAAGCACCGGCUAACUCCGUGCCAGCAGCCGCGGUAAUACGGGGGGUGCAAGCGUUGUCCGGAAUCACUGGGCGUAAAGGGCGCGUAGGUGGUCUUGUAAGUCUGUGGUGAAAGCCCGGGGCUCAACCCCGGGUCUGCCGUGGAUACUGCGAGACUUGAGUACUGUAGAGGCAGGUAGAAUAUCGGGUGUAGCGGUGGAAUGCGUAGAGAUCCGAUAGAAGACCGGUGGCGAAGGCGGCCUGCUGGGCAGUAACUGACACUGAGGCGCGACAGCG